GCACGGGGUAGGCGGGAAUGCAACGCUCUGGCCCGGUUUUUCAGCCGCCGCCGCCGCUUUGGCGGAGCAGGCGCAGCCCAUCAGCCCCGUGAAGAAUUUCUUUGCUGGCGGCUUCGGGGGGGUCUGCUUGGUGUUCGUGGGGCACCCGCUGGACACCAUCAAGGUCAGACUGCAAACCCAGCUGAAGCUGCAGCCUGGUCAGCCUUUGCUCUAUUCUGGGACCUUUGACUGCUUCAGAAAGACUCUGGUUGGAGAGGGAGUCUGAGGCUUAUACAGAGGAAUGGCAGCUCCUAUUAUCGGAGUGACACCCAUGUUUGCUGUGUGCUUCUUUGGAUUUGGCUUGGGAAAGAGGCUCCAGCAGAGAAAACCUGACGACGUUUUGACGUGAGUUGCUGAGUUAAUCAGACACUUGGGAAAGGCACUCCAAAGCUCUUGCAGGCUGCUGCAUUGUUGCAUGUUGAGUGUGAUGUAAAUUUGUCUCCUUUCCUAGGUUAUAAAUAUAGUUCUAAAAAUUAAAACACUUGUGUUUAAAUGCU